GACGAACGCUGGCGGCGUGCUUAACACAUGCAAGUCGAACGGUAAGGCCCUUCGGGGUACACGAGUGGCGAACGGGUGAGUAACACGUGGGUGAUCUGCCCUGCACUUCGGGAUAAGCCUGGGAAACUGGGUCUAAUACCGGAUAGGACCACUGCCUGCAUGGGUGGUGGUGGAAAGCUUUUGCGAUGUGGGAUGGGCCCGCGGCCUAUCAGCUUGUUGGUGGGGUGAUGGCCUACCAAGGCGACGACGGGUAGCCGGCCUGCGAGGGUGACCGGCCACACUGGGACUGAGAUACGGCCCAGACUCCUACGGGAGGCAGCAGUGGGGAAUAUGCACAAUGGGCGCAAGCCUGAUGCAGCGACGCCGCGUGAGGGAUGACGGCCUUCGGGUUGUAAACCUCUUUCAGCACCGACGAAGCGCAAGUGACGGUAGGUGCAGAAGAAGGACCGGCCAACUACGUGCCAGCCGCCGCUGUAA
rnacentral:rRNA from 1 species